rnacentral:rRNA from 1 species
UCAGAUGUGAAAGCCCCGGGCUUCAACCUCGGAAUUGCAUUUGAAACUGGCAAACUAGAGUACUGUAGAGGGGGGUAGAAUUUCAGGUGUAGCGGUGAAAUGCGUAGAGAUCUGAAGGAAUACCGGUGGCGAAGGCGGCCCCCUGGACAGAUACUGACACUCAGAUGCGAAAGCGUGGGGAGCAAACAGGAUUAGAUACCCUGGUAGUCCACGCCGUAAACGAUGUCUACUUGGAGGUUGUGGCCUUGAGCCGUGGCUUUCGGAGCUAACGCGUUAAGUAGACCGCCUGGGGAGUACGGUCGCAAGAUUAAAACUCAAAUGAAUUGACGGGGGCCCGCACAAGCGGUGGAGCAUGUGGUUUAAUUCGAUGCAACGCGAAGAACCUUACCUACUCUUGACAUCUACAGAAGCCAGCGGAGACGCAGGUGUGCCUUCGGGAACUGUAAGACAGGUGCUGCAUGGCUGUCGUCAGCUCGUGUUGUGAAAUGUUGGGUUAAGUCCCGCAACGAGCGCAACCCUUAUCCUUGUUUGCCAGCACUUCGGGUGGGAACUCCAGGGAGACUGCCGGUGAUAAACCGGAGGAAGGUGGGGACGACGUCAAGUCAUCAUGGCCCUUACGAGUAGGGCUACACACGUGCUACAAUGGCGCAUACAGAGGGCGGCCAACUUGCGAAAGUGAGCGAAUCCCAAAAAGUGCGUCGUAGUCCGGAUUGGAGUCUGCAACUCGACUCCAUGAAGUCGGAAUCGCUAGUAAUCGUGGAUCAGAAUGCCACGGUGAAUACGUUCCCGGGCCUUGUACACACCGCCCGUCACACCAUGGGAGUGGGCUGCAAAAGAAGUGGGUAGUUUAACCUUCGGGAGGACGCUCACCACUUUGUGGUUCAUGACUGGGGUGAAGUCGUAACAAGGUAACCG